rnacentral:rRNA from 1 species
UACGAAGGGGGCUAGCGUUGCUCGGAAUCACUGGGCGUAAAGGGUGCGUAGGCGGGUCUUUUAAGUCAGGGGUGAAAUCCUGGAGCUCAACUCCAGAACUGCCUUUGAUACUGAAGAUCUUGAGUUCGGGAGAGGUGAGUGGAACUGCGAGUGUAGAGGUGAAAUUCGUAGAUAUUCGCAAAGAACACCAGUGGCGAAGGCGGCUCACUGGCCCGAUACUGACGCUGAGGCACGAAAAGCGUGGGGGAGCAAACAGG